rnacentral:piRNA from 1 species
UGAAAGAGUACUCUCUCAAAACUAGCCUGC